UACGAAGGGGGCGAGCGUUGUUCGGAUUUACUGGGCGUAAAGGGCGCGCAGGCGGCUCAUUUUGUCAGGCGUGAAAGCCCCGGGCUUAACCUGGGAACUGCGUUUGAUACGGAUGGGCUAGAGUUCGGGAGAGGAGAGUGGAAUUCCCAGUGUAGAGGUGAAAUUCGUAGAUAUUGGGAAGAACACCGGUGGCGAAGGCGGCUCUCUGGGACGGUACUGACGCUGAGACGCGAAAAGCGUGGGGGAGCGAACAGG
rnacentral:rRNA from 1 species